rnacentral:ncRNA from 36 species
GGGGUAAAAAUGAUUAUUGGUGGCUGGAUGCCAGGGAAGAGAGGUGAAAAUCCUCCGCUGCCCCGCAGCCGUAAAAGGGAACGAAAACCUACAUGCCACUGUCAUGGGUAAUGCCAUGAUGGGAAGGCAGGUAAGUAGGUAGCCCUUAAGCCGGAAGACCUAUCCAUGCCAAAACCUGCCCU